rnacentral:rRNA from 1 species
CCUACGGGUGGCAGCAGUGAGGAAUAUUGGUCAAUGGCCGUAAGGCUGAACCAGCCAAGUCGCGUGAGGGAUGACUGCCCUAUGGGUUGUAAACCUCUUUUUUGCGGGGGUAAAGUGGUCCACGUGUGGAUUUUUGCAGGUACCGCAUGAAUAAGGACCGGCUAAUUCCGUGCCAGCAGCCGCGGUAAUACGGAAGGUCCGGGCGUUAUCCGGAUUUAUUGGGUUUAACGGGGGCGUAGGCCGGUCUUUAAGCGUGCCGUGAAAUUUUCUGGCUUAACCAUGAGAGUGCGGCGGAAACUGGAGGCCUUGAGUGCGCGGGAGGCAGGCGGAAUUCGUGGUGUAGCGGUGAAAUGCGUAGAUAUCACGAAGAACACCGAUUGCGAAGGCAGCCUGCCGCAGCGUUACUGACGCUGAAGCUCGAAAGCGCGGGUAUCGAACAGGAUUAGAUACCCUUGUAGUC